GAUGAACGCUAGCUACAGGCUUAACACAUGCAAGUCGAGGGACCGGCGCACGGGUGAGUAACACGUAUCCAACCUGCCCUUUACUCGGAGAUAACCUUUCGAAAAAAAGAUUAAUACCCGACAUAAAGAAUGUGGAUGCGUUCCAUUAGGUUGUUGGUGAGGUAAAGGAUGACCAGGCCUUCGAUGGAUAGGGGUGCUGAGAGGAAGGGCACCGACACUGGAACUGGGACAAGUGCCAUACUCCUACGGGAGGUAGCAGUGCGGAAUAUUGGUCAAUGGGCGUUAGCCGGCACCAGCCAGUGAGCGUGAAGGAUGAAGGCUUAUGGGUCGUAAACUUAUUUUAUAUAAGAAUCUGUAUUAUAUGAAUAAGGAUCGGCUAACUCCGUGCCAGCAGCCGCGGUAAUUC
rnacentral:rRNA from 1 species